UUGUGCACCAAUUUCUAUUCGUGGGCCAAACUCAGUCCAGCGAGCACCUGGACCAUACCAACAAGCAUACUCAAUACAGCAGCAAUUCACACCGUACCAGCAUUCUGAUUUCUGAGUAUAGAUCUUUGAUGACACCGACCGAGCUAGGAAAUACGUUUGCUACUAUGUCUAUGACUCUACCGCAAGAUGGCUCUUGGUACGUGGAUUCGGGAGCAAUGUCUCACAUGAUCAAUAAUGGAGUUGUUUUAGGCGGAGAAUUCUCUGUAGGCGACUUUUGGAAGUGCUAAAGUGGCCUAUCAAUGUGUUUACACAAGUCUCUAAGGAUCAAUAAGCGUUACCAUCUACAGGUUUGAAGAUGAUGCAUCAUUGGGAUCGGGAUUAGAGAGCUUGUAUUUAGUUUUGAAUUGCUAAGUCAACUUUGGUUUGUUUAAUUGGACUUUAAACUUGUUGAACUAGUUACAUUGACUUUAUUUCCGUUGAUUGGUUUUGGAAUUAACUCUGUAGUUGAUUAUUUAUAAACCUAAAGUUAGUUUUAUGUUUUCCGCUGCAAAAUUCUGAAUAAGCCGUUAAGUUUUCACACGGGCGAUAAU